rnacentral:rRNA from 1 species
CAUAGUACCUGUGAAGAUGCAGGUUACCCGCGACAGGACGGAAAGACCCCGUGGAGCUUUACUGUAGCCUGAUAUUGAAAUUUGGCACAGCUUGUACAGGAUAGGUAGGAGCCUUUGAAACGUGAGCGCUAGCUUACGUGGAGGCGCUGGUGGGAUACUACCCUGGCUGUGUUGACUUUCUAACCCGCACCAUUUGAUCAUGGUGGGAGACAGUGUCAGGCGGGCAGUUUGACUGGGGCGGUCGCCUCCUAAAGAGUAACGGAGGCGCUCAAAGGUUCCCUCAGAAUGGUUGGAAAUCAUUCGCAGAGUGUAAAGGCACAAGGGAGCUUGACUGCGAGACCUACAAGUCGAGCAGGGUCGAAAGACGGACUUAGUGAUCCGGUGGUUCCGCAUGGAAGGGCCAUCGCUCAACGGAUAAAAGCUACCCCGGGGAUAACAGGCUUAUCUCCCCCAAGAGUUCACAUCGACGGGGAGGUUUGGCACCUCGAUGUCGGCUCAUCGCAUCCUGGGGCUGUAGUCGGUCCCAAGGGUUGGGCUGUUCGCCCAUUAAAGCGGUACGCGAGCUGGGUUCAGAACGUCGUGAGACAGUUCGGUCCCUAUCCGUCGUGGGCGUAGGAAAUUUGAGAGGAGCUGUCCUUAGUACGAGAGGACCGGGAUGGACAUACCUCUGGUGUACCAGUUGUCGCGCCAGCGGCAUAGCUGGGUAGCUAUGUAUGGACGGGAUAAGUGCUGAAAGCAUCUAAGCAUGAAGCCCCCCUCAAGAUGAGAUUUCCCAACUUCGGUUAUAAGAUCCCUCAAAGAUGAUGAGGUUAAUAGGUUCGGGGUGUAAGCGCAGUAAUGUGUGUAGCUGACGAAUACUAAUCGAUCGAAGACUUAAUCAA